GUCGAGCGAACAGACGAGGAGCUUGCUCCUCUGACGUUAGCGGCGGACGGGUGAGUAACACGUGGAUAACCUACCUAUAAGACUGGGAUAACUUCGGGAAACCGGAGCUAAUACCGGAUAAUAUAUUGAACCGCAUGGUUCAAUAGUGAAAGACGGUUUUGCUGUCACUUAUAGAUGGAUCCGCGCCGCAUUAGCUAGUUGGUAAGGUAACGGCUUACCAAGGCAACGAUGCGUAGCCGACCUGAGAGGGUGAUCGGCCACACUGGAACUGAGACACGGUCCAGACUCCUACGGGAGGCAGCAGUAGGGAAUCUUCCGCAAUGGGCGAAAGCCUGACGGAGCAACGCCGCGUGAGUGAUGAAGGUCUUCGGAUCGUAAAACUCUGUUAUUAGGGAAGAACAAAUGUGUAAGUAACUAUGCACGUCUUGACGGUACCUAAUCAGAAAGCCACGGCUAACUACGUGCCAGCAGCCGCGGUAAUACGUAGGUGGCAAGCGUUAUCCGGAAUUAUUGGGCGUAAAGCGCGCGUAGGCGGUUUUUUAAGUCUGAUGUGAAAGCCCACGGCUCAACCGUGGAGGGUCAUUGGAAACUGGAAAACUUGAGUGCAGAAGAGGAAAGUGGAAUUCCAUGUGUAGCGGUGAAAUGCGCAGAGAUAUGGAGGAACACCAGUGGCGAAGGCGACUUUCUGGUCUGUAAC
rnacentral:rRNA from 1 species